rnacentral:rRNA from 1 species
UUUGAUCCUGGCUCAGAACGAACGCUGGCGGUAGGCCUAACACAUGCAAGUCGAGCGAUCUCUUCGGAGAUAGCGGCGGACGGGUGAGUAACGCGUGGGAACAUACCCAGAGGUACGGAACAACAGUUGGAAACGACUGCUAAUACCGUAUACGCCCUACGGGGGAAAGAAUUUCGCCUUUGGAUUGGCCCGCGUUGGAUUAAAUAGUUGGUGGGGUAAUGGCCUACCAAGUCUACGAUCCAUAGCUGGUUUGAGAGGAUGANCAGCCACACUGGGACUGAGACACGGCCCAGACUCCUACGGGAGGCAGCAGUGGGGAAUCUUAGACAAUGGGCGCAAGCCUGAUCUAGCCAUACCGCGUGAGUGAUGAAGGCCUUAGGGUCGUAAAGCUCUUUCGCCAGGGGAGAUAAUGACUGUACCUGGUAAAGAAGUCCCGGCUAACNCCGUGCCAGCAGCCGCGGUAAUAAGGG